rnacentral:lncRNA from 1 species
AGGUCCGAGCCAACCAGUUGAGAAAAAAGUUCGCUCCCAACAAAAAUCAUCGACUCAUUGUCCACUUUUUAAGUUUCGGCACUGUGAUUUUAAAAUAUAUAUUCAUACACCUGAAAGUACUAUAAAUAAGAUUUCUAAAAAAAAAACUAAAUUUAAAUAUUUAAAUAUAAUUGAGUAAAAGAUCAAGAAUAAAGAAUUAGUUUAAAUGAGAC